rnacentral:rRNA from 1 species
UCGAGAAUCUUUCGCAAUGGGCGCAAGCCUGACGAAGCGACGCCGUGUGAGCGAAGAAGGCCUUCGGGUUGUAAAGCUCUUUCGCUAGGGAACAAGAGAGUUUAGUGAAUAACUAGAUGAUUUGAUGGUACUUGGUAAAGAAGCACCGGCUAACUCCGUGCCAGCAGCUGCGGUAAUACGGAGGGUGCAAGCAUUGAUCGGAAUUACUGGGCGUAAAGGGCGCGUAGGCGGCCGUAAAAGUCAGAUGUGA